AUGCAGUCGAACGAUGAAGCCCAGCUUGCUGGGNGGUUAGUGGCGAACGGGUGAGUAACACGUGAGUAACCUGCCCUUAACUCUGGGAUAAGCCUGGGAAACUGGGUCUAAUACCGGAUAGGAGCGCCUACCGCAUGGUGGGUGUUGGAAAGAUUUAUCGGUUUUGGAUGGACUCGCGGCCUAUCAGCUUGUUGGUGAGGUAAUGGCUCACCAAGGCGACGACGGGUAGCCGGCCUGAGAGGGUGACCGGCCACACUGGGACUGAGACACGGCCCAGACUCCUACGGGAGGCAGCAGUGGGGAAUAUUGCACAAUGGGCGCAAGCCUGAUGCAGCGACGCCGCGUGAGGGAUGACGGCCUUCGGGUUGUAAACCUCUUUCAGUAGGGAAGAAGCGAAAGUGACGGUACCUGCAGAAGAAGCACCGGCUAACUACGUGCCAGCAGCCGCGGUAAUACGUAGGGUGCGAGCGUUAUCCGGAAUUAUUGGGCGUAAAGAGCUCGUAGGCGGUUUGUCGCGUCUGUCGUGAAAGUCCGGGGCUUAACCCCGGAUCUGCGGUGGGUACGGGCAGACUAGAGUGCAGUAGGGGAGACUGGAAUUCCUGGUGUAGCGGUGGAAUGCGCAGAUAUCAGGAGGAACACCGAUGGCGAAGGCAGGUCUCUGGGCUGUAACUGACGCUGAGGAGCGAAAGCAUGGGGAGCGAACAGGAUUAGAUACCCUGGUAGUCCAUGCCGUAAACGUUGGGCACUAGGUGUGGGGACCAUUCCACGGUUUCCGCGCCGCAGCUAACGCAUUAAGUGCCCCGCCUGGGGAGUACGGCCGCAAGGCUAAAACUCAAAGGAAUUGACGGGGGCCCGCACAAGCGGCGGAGCAUGCGGAUUAAUUCGAUGCAACGCGAAGAACCUUACCAAGGCUUGACAUGUUCUCGAUCGCCGUAGAGAUACGGUUUCCCCUUUGGGGCGGGUUCACAGGUGGUGCAUGGUUGUCGUCAGCUCGUGUCGUGAGAUGUUGGGUUAAGUCCCGCAACGAGCGCAACCCUCGUUCCAUGUUGCCAGCACGUCAUGGUGGGGACUCAUGGAAGACUGCCGGGGUCAACUCGGAGGAAGGUGAGGACGACGUCAAAUCAUCAUGCCCCUUAUGUCUUGGGCUUCAC
rnacentral:rRNA from 1 species